rnacentral:rRNA from 1 species
GAUGAACGCUGGCGGCGUGCCUAACACAUGCAAGUCGAACGAACGGACGAGAAGCUUCCUUUUCUGAUGUUAGCGUCGCACCGGUGAGUAACACGUCGGUAACCUACCUAUUAGACUAGGAUAACUUCGGGAAACCGUAGCUACUGCCAGCUAAUAUUUUUAACCUCUUGGUUCAAAAGUAGAAGACUGACUAACGUUAACUUAACGGUGGUACCGGGCUGCAUUAGAUCGUUGUGACGGGUACGGCAUACCAAGGCAGCGAUGCAUAGCCAACCUUAACGGGAGAAUGGGCACACGGGAACUGAGACACGGUCCAGACACCGACGGUAGGAAACAGUAGGGAAUCUUCCGCGAUGGGGGAAAGGCUGACGGAGCAACGCCGCGGGAGUGAUGAAGGUCUUCGGAUCGUAAAACUCUGUUAUUAGGGAAGAACAAAUGUGUAAGUAACUGUGAACAUCUGGACGGUACCUAAGGAGAAAGCCACGGCUAACUACGUG